GGGGAUGUAGCUCAGUGGUAGAGCACUAGAGCAACAUGUGUGAGGCCCUGGAUUUGAUCUCCAGCACCACCA
rnacentral:tRNA from 1 species